CGAAGGGAGCAAGCGUUGCUCGGAUUUAUUGGGCGUAAAGGGUGUGUAGGCGGUUUUGUAAGUUAGAUGUGAAAUCCCCGGGCUUAACCCGGGAACUGCAUUUAAGACUGCAAAACUUGAAGUUCGAAGAGGUUAGCAGAAUUCCCAGUGUAGAGGUGAAAUUCGUAGAUAUUGGGAAGAAUACCAAUGGCGUAGGCAGCUAACUGGUCGACACUUGACGCUGAGGCACGAAAGCGUGGGGAGCAAACAGGAUUAGAUACCCUGGUAGUCCACGCCCUAAACGAUGUGUACUCGCUAUCGGACGGUUUACCGUUCGGUGGCUAAGCUAACGCGAUAAGUACACCGCCUGGGGAUUACGAUCGCAAGAUUA
rnacentral:rRNA from 1 species